AACGAACGCUGGCGGCAUGCCUAACACAUGCAAGUCGAACGAGACCUCCGGGUCUAGUGGCGCACGGGUGCGUAACGCGUGGGAACCUGCCCUUAGGUUCGGAAUAACUCCCCGAAAGGGGUGCUAAUACCGGAUAAUGUCUUCGGACCAAAGAUUUAUCGCCUUUGGAUGGGCCCGCGUUGGUUUAGCUAGUUGGUAGGGUAAAAGCCUACCAAGGCGACGAUCCAUAGCUGGUCGGGGAGGAUGAUCAGCCACACUGGGGCUGAGACACGGCCCAGACUCCGACGGAAGGCAGCAGUAGGGAAUAUUGGGCGAUGGGCGAAAGCCUGAUCACGCAAUGCCGCGUGAGAGAUGAAGGCCUUAGGGUUGUAAAGCUCUUUUACACGGGAUGAUAAUGACGGUACCGGGAGAAUAAGCACCGGCUAACUACGUG
rnacentral:rRNA from 1 species